rnacentral:tRNA from 3 species
GCGCGGUUAGCUCAGUUGGUAGAGCGUCUCGUUGACGUCGAGAAGGUCAUAGGUUCGAACCCUAUACCGCGCACAA